rnacentral:rRNA from 1 species
GAUGAACGCUGGCGGCGUGCCUAAUACAUGCAAGUCGAGCGAACAGACGAGGAGCUUGCUCCUCUGACGUUAGCGGCGGACGGGUGAGUAACACGUGGAUAACCUACCUAUAAGACUGGGAUAACUUCGGGAAACCGGAGCUAAUACCGGAUAAUAUAUUGAACCGCAUGGUUCAAUAGUGAAAGACGGUUUUGCUGUCACUUAUAGAUGGAUCCGCGCCGCAUUAGCUAGUUGGUAAGGUAACGGCUUACCAAGGCGACGAUGCGUAGCCGACCUGAGAGGGUGAUCGGCCACACUGGAACUGAGACACGGUCCAGACUCCUACGGGAGGCAGCAGUAGGGAAUCUUCCGCAAUGGGCGAAAGCCUGACGGAUCAACGCCGCGUGAGUGAUGAAGGUCUUCGGAUCGUAAAACUCUGUAAUUAGGGAAGAACAAAUGUGUAAGUAACUAUGCACGUCUUGACGGUACCUAAUCAGAAAGCCACGGCUAACUACGUG